rnacentral:rRNA from 1 species
UUUGUUGAAAAUGGGUAGAUAAUUUAUCUCCGUGUUGUAGCUAACGCGUUAAGCACUCCGCCUGGGGACUACGGUCGCAAGACUAAAACUCAAAGGAAUUGACGGGGACCCGCACAAGCGGUGGAGCAUGUGGUUUAAUUCGAUGCAACGCGAAAAACCUUACCACUCCUUGACAUGGAGAUUAGAUCCUUCUUAACAGAAGGGCGCAGUUCGGCUGGAUCUCGCACAGGUGCUGCAUGGCUGUCGUCAGCUCGUGUCGUGAGAUGUUGGGUUAAGUCCCGCAACGAGCGUAACCCUCAUCCUUAGUUGCCAGCGGGUAAGCCGGGCACUUUAAGGAAACUGCCGGUGGUAAACCGGAGGAAGGUGGGGAUGAUGUCAAGUCAGCACGGCCCUUAUGGGGUGGGCUACACACGUGCUACAAUGGUGACUACAAUAGGUUGCAAUGUCGCAAGGCUGAGCUAAUCCGUAAAAGUCAUCUCAGUUCGGAUUGUCCUCUGCAACUCGAGGGCAUGAAGUCGGAAUCGCUAGUAAUCGUGGAUCAGCAUGCCACGGUGAAUACGUUCUCGGGUCUUGUACACACUGCCCGUCACGCCAUGGGAAUUGGCUUAACUCGAAGCUGGUGCGCUAACCGAAAGAACCCCACCCAUAAA